GUUGAACGCUGGCGGCGUGCCUAAUACAUGCAAGUCGAGCGAACAGAUGAGGAGCUUUCUCCUCUGACGUUAGCGGCGGACGGGUUAGUAACACGUGGAUAACCUACCUAUAGGACUGGGAUAACUUCGUGAAAUCGGAGCUAAUACCGUAUAAUAUUGUGAACCGCAUGGUUCAAUAGUGAAAGACGGUUUUGCUGUCACUUAUAGAUGGAUCGGCGCCGGAUUAGCUAGUUGGUAAGGUAACGGCUUACCAAGGCGACGAUGCGUAGCAGAUCUGAGAGGGUGAUCGGCCACACUGGAACUGAGACACGGUCCAGACUCCUACGGGAGGCAGCAGUAGGGAAUCUUCCGCAAUGGGCGAAAGCUUGACGGAGCAACGCCGCGUGAGUGAUGAAGGUCUUCGGAUCGUAAAACUCUGUUAUUAGGGACGAACAAAUGUGUAAGAAAAUAGGCACGUCAUGACGGUACCUAAACAGAAAGCCACGGCUAACUACGUG
rnacentral:rRNA from 1 species